CAGAGACCGAGACGGGAAAACCAGAGCCAGAGGUGACAGAAGAGUACAGAGGAUCAGCUGCAUAGAGGAAGAGCCAAGAGUCAGAAAAACAGGAGAAGAAAGACACGGACAAAAUGGUCAACGGCAGGGCCUGCGAUUUCUAACAAGCUCCCAGGGGAUGCUGAAGUGGCUGGGCUCAACGGACUACAGUUUGAAUGUCCAGGAUCCUGUCACUGUCCUUAAGAUUUGCCUGUUCUGGACAUUUCAUAUCAGUGGAAUCAUACACUAUUGGCCAUACAAGCUGGCCCAGGUGCUAUGGAGCACGGAGGAGGGCAUCAUACCAGGGGGGCGGAUGUGAGAGGCCUCCUGAAGGAGCUCUCACACUCAAACCACGGGCUUCUUUCAUGUUGUAACAUGCAUCAGAACUUCAUUCCUUUUUAUUGUUAAAUAACAUCCCAUUGUAUGAAUAUGCCCCGUUUUGUUUAUUCAUUCAGCGGUUCAUGGACAUUUCAGUUGUUUCCAUG